rnacentral:rRNA from 1 species
CGCUGGCGGCAGGCUUAACACAUGCAAGUCGAACGAAGUCUUCGGACUUAGUGGCAGACGGGUGAGUAACGCGUGGGAACCUACCCUUUGGUACGGAACAACAGUUGGAAACGACUGCUAAUACCGUAUGAGCCCUACGGGGGAAAGAUUUAUCGCCAAAGGAUGGGCCCGCGUUGGAUUAGCUAGUUGGUGGGGUAAAAGCCUACCAAGGCGACGAUCCAUAGCUGGUCUGAGAGGAUGAUCAGCCACACUGGGACUGAGACACGGCCCAGACUCCUACGGGAGGCAGCAGUGGGGAAUAUUGGACAAUGGGGGCAACCCUGAUCCAGCCAUGCCGCGUGAGUGAUGAAGGCCCUAGGGUUGUAAAGCUCUUUCAGCGAGGAGGAUAAUGACGUUCUCGCAGAAGAAGCCCCGGCUAACUUCGUGCCAGCAGCCCGCGGUAAUACAAAGGGGGCUAG